rnacentral:lncRNA from 1 species
GGCAUCUCAAGUAUGCUCCACAUGAGGAUCAUAGAGAGUCAUUGUGGGUUCGAUCCUCCUCAAUACUGAUUAGCACGAGCCACUAAUCAGGAUGACCCCGAGGAUAUUACUGAAAAUAUCUCUUCCUUUCAUGAGAACCUACCUUCUCAGCCACCACCGAGUCAUAGACCAGUUCAUGUGGCUGCUUCAUUAACAGAAAUUUCUGACCACUUAACUCGAUUCGAACAAUAUUGCACCCAGCAGUUCAACAGCUCCGCUCAGUGAUUCGACAGUAUAGGGGCCACUCUGCAACAGAUUUUCCAGCAUUUCCACAUUUCGC